rfam:Oryza glaberrima chromosome 4 Oglab04_0291_5, whole genome shotgun sequence.
UAUAAAUGGGUUAUGGUUUCCAUGUCCAACGUUUAACCGUCCGUUUUAUUUAAAAAAUUUAUAAAUUUUUUUUAAAAAAAUAGUCACACAUAAAAUAUUAUUCAUGUUUUAUCAUCUAAUAACAACAAAAAUACUAAUCAUAUUUUUUUAAAUAAAAUGAAUGGUCAAAUAUUGGACACGAAAAGUUAUAAUUGAACUUAUA